rnacentral:rRNA from 1 species
CAGCAGCCGCGGUAAUUCGGAGGGCGCGAGCGUUACCCGGAUUUACUGGGCGUAAAGGGCGUGUAGGCGGCCUGGGGCGUCCCAUGUGAAAGGCCACGGCUCAACCGUGGAGGAGCGUGGGAUACGCUCAGGCUAGAGGGUGGGAGAGGGUGGUGGAAUUCCCGGAGUAGCGGUGAAAUGCGCAGAUACCGGGAGGAACGCCGAUGGCGAAGGCAGCCACCUGGUCCACUUCUGACGCUGAGGCGCGAAAGCGUGGGGAGCAAACCGGAUUAGAGACCCCCGUAGUCCCUGUCUCUUAUAC